GAGUAACACGUGACCGACCUGCCCCCCGCCCAGGGACAGCCCCCCGAAAGGGGGAUUAAUACCUGGUACUCCGGAAGCGGCGCAUGCCGCAUCCGGGAAAGCUCUGGCGGCGGGGGAUGGGGUCGCGGCCCAUCAGGUAGACGGCGGGGCAGAGGCCCACCGUGCCGACGACGGGUAGCCGGGUUGAGAGACCGACCGGCCACAUUGGGACUGAGAUACGGCCCAGACUCCUACGGGAGGCAGCAGUGGGGAAUUUUGCGCAAUGGGGGCAACCCUGACGCAGCAACGCCGCGUGCGGGACGAAGGCGUCCGCGUCGUAAACCGCUUUCAGCGGGGAACACUUAAACGAGGGUACCCGCAGAAGAAGCCCCGGCUAAAUACGUGCCAGCAGCCGCGGUAAUACGUAUGGGGCGAGCGUUAUCCGGAUUCAUUGGGCGUAAAGCGCGCGUAGGCGGAGCGCUAAGCGGGACCUCUAACCCGAGGGCUCAACCCCCGGCCGGGUCCCGAACUGGCGCUCUCGAGUGCGGUAGGGGAGAGCGGAAUUCCCGGUGUAGCGGUGGAAUGCGCAGAUAUCGGGAAGAACACCGACGGCGAAGGCAGCUCUCUGGGCCGAAACUGACGCUGAGGCGCGAAAGCUGGGGGAGCGAACAGGAUUAGAUACCCUGGUAGUCCCAGCCGUAAACGAUGGGCGCUAGGUGUGGGGGGAAGAUCCCUCCGUGCCGCAG
rnacentral:rRNA from 1 species